GAAACCAGGCGCUUGAGUUAUUAAAAGAAAAAUUAAAAAUAAUAGACAAUGACGCUAGUAUCUCAACUGUAAAAAAGAAAAUUGAGAAUAUGAGAGCUGCAUACAAAAGAGAAUUUAAAAAGGUACAAGAUAGUAAAAGAACUGGAGAUAUU